rnacentral:misc_RNA from 1 species
CUCAAUUCCAAGCUGCACAACAGAAAUAAAAGAACAUAUUCUAAAUGUCAACAGUAUAUUUAAAAUAUCCAGUGCUUUUAUUUUCCUUGAAAUCACUUACAACAGGCACACAAAGACAACUUUAUAAAUGUAAAUCUUAACAAUCAGAAUGAGACAACAUGGUGGGACAUAAAUGUUAUCCGCAAAGGAAACCUUCUUAUAAUAAAGGUUCUAUUGGUUGUGUAAAGCCAUUAGUUGAUUUGAGACUUAGCAGCAGAAUACUAGUUUUCAAACUCACUGUGUGUUUCAUGUACUUUCAUAUGACUUUAUGAUGUAUAAAAAUAUGUUGAUGCUCUUACUUCACCAUAUCCGUAACUUGAAAAUUCAAACGAAAUACCCCUAAGCAAAUUUCCUCCACAAUCAACUAAAACAAAACAAUUAAUCCAUCACAGAAAAGAAAAAGAGGGCACUUGAAAAACCAAUAAUUAAUAAACAGUAGUGAG